GCGCGGGCGGCGCGGUAGCUGUGGACGCGCGGGCUUGGCCCUAGCCUUGCAGGCUGCAGAACAGUUUGGAAAAGCCCCUUUCUGGAUAAUAGUCCAGGCCCUCAUGUUCUCAUCAUAUAAAUGACGGGCCGCAGAGCUAGGUGAGAUCGGACUGGAGGCCCUGCUUGGGAAACGGAUGCCGAGCUCGCUUUCCGCAGCGCAGCAAGGAACCAAAGCCUCUUGCCAACAGCCAUGCGUGUGCGCCAUCUUGUGGACAUAUCUUCCAGCCCCAGUCAAGUCUUCCAAUGGCUACAGACCUGCCCGAGAUUUGACUGCAAUAUCCAGAACCAUAGCUGCCCGGGAUCUGCUUCUGGGACAUCCAGACGACGAGAGCAAGAAAGAAGAAUCUGCUAAGGAAGUUUCAACUGUGAAGGGGAGGUUUCCAUGAGGCAGAGCAGGGGCCUCGGCUGACUUACA